rnacentral:rRNA from 1 species
UACCACAGCCAUAUCACCCUGCAGCCCAAGACUGGGUUACUCACUGAAGCUAAGCAGGGCUGAGCCUGGUCAGUAUCUGGAUGGGAGACCACAUGGAGAAAACUAGGUUGCUGUAGGAA